rnacentral:rRNA from 1 species
GGCGGCUUACCACAUGCAAGUCGAGCGGUAGAGAGAAGCUUGCUUCUCUUGAGAGCGGCGGACGGGUGAGUUAAUGCCUAGGAAUCUGCCUGGUAGUGGGGGAUAACGUUCGGAAACGGACGCUAAUACCGCAUACGUCCUACGGGAGAAAGCAGGGGACCUUCGGGCCUUGCGCUAUCAGAUGAGCCUAGGUCGGAUUAGCUAGUUGGUGGGGUAAUGGCUCACCAAGGCGACGAUCCGUAACUGGUCUGAGAGGAUGAUCAGUCACACUGGAACUGAGACACGGUCCAGACUCCUACGGGAGGCAGCAGUGGGGAAUAUUGGACAAUGGGCGAAAGCCUGAUCCAGCCAUGCCGCGUGUGUGAAGAAGGUCUUCGGAUUGUAAAGCACUUUAAGUUGGGAGGAAGGGCCGUUACCUAAUACGUGAUGGUUUUGACGUUACCGACAGAAUAAGCACCGGCUAACUCUGUGCCAGCAGCCGCGGUAAUACAGAGGGUGCAAGCGUUAAUCGGAAUUACUGGGCGUAAAGCGCGCGUAGGUGGUUUGUUAAGUUGGAUGUGAAAUCCCCGGGCUCAACCUGGGAACUGCAUUCAAAACUGACUGACUAGAGUAUGGUAGAGGGUGGUGGAAUUUCCUGUGUAGCGGUGAAAUGCGUAGAUAUAGGAAGGAACACCAGUGGCGAAGGCGACCACCUGGACUGAUACUGACACUGAGGUGCGAAAGCGUGGGGAGCAAACAGGAUUAGAUACCCUGGUAGUCCACGCCGUAAACGAUGUCAACUAGCCGUUGGGAGCCUUGAGCUCUUAGUGGCGCAGCUAACGCAUUAAGUUGACCGCCUGGGGAGUACGGCCGCAGGUUAAAACUCAAAUGAAUUGACGGGGCCCGACAAGCGUGGAGCAUGUGUUUAAUUCGAAGCACCCGAAGAACUUACCAGGCUUGACUCCAAGAACUUUCU